rnacentral:rRNA from 1 species
UGGGGAAUAUUGCACAAUGGAGGAAACUCUGAUGCAGCGACGCCGCGUGAACGAUGAAGGCCUUCGGGUCGUAAAGUUCUGUCCUAGGGGACGAUAAUGACGGUACCCUAGGAGGAAGCCCCGGCUAACUACGUGCCAGCAGCCGCGGUAAUACGUAGGGGGCGAGCGUUGUCCGGAAUUAUUGGGCGUAAAGGGUUCGUAGGCGGUAAUUUAAGUCAGAUGUGAAAGGCGCAGGCUCAACCUGUGUAAGCAUUUGAAACUGGAUUACUUGAGUUAAGGAGAGGAAAGUGGAAUUCCUAGUGUAGCGGUGAAAUGCGUAGAUAUUAGGAGGAAUACCAGUGGCGAAGGCGACUUUCUGGACUUAUACUGACGCUGAGGAACGAAAGCGUGGGGAGCAAAC